UACGGAGGGUGCAAGCAUUAAUCGGAAUUACUGGGCGUAUAGGGCGCGUAGGCGGUUUUGUAAGUCAGAUGUGAAAUACUGGGGCUCAACCUCGGUGCUGCAUUUGAAACUGCAAGGCUAGAGGAUGGAUGGAGAGAACGGAAUUCCACGUGUAGCGGUGAAAUGCGUAGAUAUGUGGAAGAACACCGGUGGCGAAGGCGGUUCUCUAAUUUAUUCCUGACGCUGAGGCGCGAAAGCAAGGGGAGCAAACAGG
rnacentral:rRNA from 1 species